rnacentral:rRNA from 1 species
GAUGAACGCUGGCGGCGUGCCUAAUACAUGCAAGUCGAGCGAACAGAUGAGGAGCUUGCUCCUCUGACGUUAGCGGCGGACGGGUGAGUAACACGUGGAUAACCUACCUAUAAGACUGGGAUAACUUCGGGAAACCGGAGCUAAUACCGGAUAAUAUAUUGAACCGCAUGGUUCAAUAGUGAAAGACGGUUUUGCUGUCACUUAUAGAUGGAUCCGCGCCGCAUUAGCUAGUUGGUAAGGUAACGGCUUACCAAGGCAACGAUGCGUAGCCGACCUGAGAGGGUGUUCGGCCACACUGGAACUGAGACACGGUCCAGACUCCUACGGGAGGCAGCAGUAGGGAAUCUUCCGCAAUGGGCGAAAGCCUGACGGAGCAACGCCGCGUGAGUGAUGAAGGUCUUCGGAUCGUAAAACUCUGUUAUUAGGGAAGAACAAAUGUGUAAGUAACUAUGCACGUCUUGACGGUACCUAAUCAGAAAGCCACGGCUAACUACGU